UACAGAGGUCCCAAGCGCUGUUCGGAUUCACUGGGCGUAAAGGGUGCGUAGGUGGUUAGGUAAGUCCGAUGUGAAAUCUCCAGGCUCAACCUGGAAAUGGCAUUGGAUACUAUCUAGCUUGAGGAGUGGAGGGGGGACUGGAAUUCUCGGUGUAGCAGUGAAAUGCGUAGAUAUCGAGAGGAACACCAGUGGCGAAGGCGAGUCCCUGGACACUUCCUGACACUGAGGCACGAAAGCUAGGGGAGCAAACAGG
rnacentral:rRNA from 1 species